GCUGUGAUGGCGAUGGGAAAUCGACUCCUGGAGUUCUCUGUUACAGUGCCUUUCCGUUCUCCUCUGGAAGCACACAUGGCUCGCACGUCUUUGAUCUCAAAUGCUCAGCUCCAACAAAUGAUGGUUCAGCAGGAGUUCACAGUGGAUAACAGUACCCUGUCUGCUAGGUUGACGUCUGAAGACCCUAAUCUCUUCCGAAUUUCCAUUAACAUCUUCCAUGACCAGUUUUUCCUGGUGUUGAGGAACAUUCAGAAUCAAGAGUUAGUGGCAGAUGUAAAAUGAGGACAAGGAAGGAGGCCUGAUGUCUUGUAUUUGGGUGCUUU